rnacentral:rRNA from 1 species
CACGUAGGGCGCAAGCGUUGUCCGGAAUUAUUGGGCGUAAAGAGCUUGUAGGCGGUUUGUCGCGUCUGCUGUGAAAUUUCGGGGCUCAACCCCGGACUUGCAGUGGGUACGGGCAGACUAGAGUGUGGUAGGGGAGACUGGAAUUCCUGGUGUAGCGGUGAAAUGCGCAGAUAUCAGGAGGAACACCGAUGGCGAAGGCAGGUCUCUGGGCCAUAACUGACGCUGAGAAGCGAAAGCAUGGGGAGCGAACAGG